UAUAUAUAAUUCCCGAGUAUAACUCUGGGUAUAUAUUAGAAUACUUCUAUAAUAACAUGCUAUCAAGUUUAAGAUAGUUGUAUGAUUUCAAAAUAUCAUAUAUAUUUUAAUUAUAUAUGAGAGAAAACAACUAUAUCCCGGUUAAUAUAACUAUCUAUGUUGAUACGAACAUACUAUCAUAUAAUAUUAACUUUUAUUGGAUAUCUAGCAUGCGUUUUCCCCCGAAAACAUUAGAAAGUGGGGCCAUGAAACUCACAUUAGUAGCGUGACUUCGAAAACGAGAGAGAAUGAGAGGAGAAGGUGUAAGGAAUGAAUGGGAUUUGAUUGCUAUUUAUAGGCUGAUUUUGGCCCAUUCACGUCAUGAUAAUCAAUACUCACGUCGUGAGAUUUGGCAAGAGUCAUCCCGUAGCCUUAACGCGUGUUAUCUAGCUCCGAUUAGUGUCUUGCAGCGUCCUCACGUCGUGAGAAAUCCUUGCUCACGUCGUCAGCUUUUGGGCUAUCAUUCCAUAGACUUCUAGCCUCAAAAUGUGGCAUUUUGACUCCUCAAGUCGUGAGUUCAGUCAGAGUAGGGUUUCUGACAGCUCUAUCUUCGGAAGGUCGUCACUUUUGCAUAUGAACUCCGUUUUUGACGUUCUUUGUGUCCACGCGUAGGUAUUUACGAGUACUACAACUCUCUUUUCAACUCCAAUAGGUAAUUUUAAGUCUGUUUUAAAUUCCUAUUAUUAUAGAGAUUUAUAGUGUUAGGUUUUAUCAUAACUUCUUCACACGAAGUCACAUUAAGAUGUUCUCUAUAUUUUUGGAAUCGUAUAGACGUAUACUUUGAGUUGUAUCAUAAAUUAUGUAUGAAAGUUCAUACUUUAACAUGAAUUACAUAGUAAGUUUAUCACAUUACUAGUUUACCAAAAUCACAUUACAUUAUUGAUGUGACAACCCGAAAUUUCUAUCUUGUACAACGUAUCAAUUCAAUAAAAUUUAGACUUGUUUCUGCUAACUUUUAGCACUGUUUAGAGUCUAUUUGAGAGUUCUAAACAUAGUACAUUCAAGAAUCAAGUGUUAGGAAGUAUCUUCUAGGGUUCAUUGUGCAAUAAACAAGCCCUAAACCCAUUUUGUGGUGUUUAUGGACAAACUUCAUGAGUUUGGGCCGUAAAAUCACUAUAGGCCAUGAACUCAUGUUAUAUACAUGAGUUUACAUCCUAUUCCUCAUUACUUCCAUUUUCAAGACAAAGAACUUCCAUUCUCUCUCAAGUAUCACCAAAUUCAUCAUCUUGAUCUUCCAAAAAUGUAACAAUUCAUUCUUUUGAUUUGUUGUUAUAUCACCUUAUCUAGUAAGGAUCAUUCAUUUCAUCCAUGAAAUCACUCCAUUUUGAUAGAUCUUCAAGUCUUCUUCAUUUCACCAAGAACACACACUAGUGUUUUUGGACCUUGAUCACCCUUACAAGCUUCAAAUACGUAAGUACACUACCCUUAGCUUGUUAUAUACUUGAAUCACUAGAUAAACACCUUGAAAACAUCAAGAAACUCAAGAACAUGAGGUGUUUACGGCCUAGGCAAUCUUCUUUGGCUGUAAACCCUAAAUGGUGGUGCAUAUGUGCCAUCAUUCCUUCCUAAGGCUUGAACUUGCAUGUAGAACACUCCCUAGUGACUUAUAAAGCCUUAACACACAAAUGGUACAAAUUACCAUGAGUUUACGGCCGUAAACUCAAUGGGCCAUAAACUCAAGGGCCGUAAACUCAUGUGGUAAUUACCAUGGGCCAUAAAAUCCAAUGAGUGGUCCUACAUCCCUUACAUUCAACCCUAUGUGGUUUAACACUUCAAUACUAGUGUUUCCUAGUCCCUAAGGUUGUUCAAUCACAAUAUUAGUUGUUAUAAACACUAAUUAGAUACAUAUAUGUGUCAUCGUAUGCUAAAUAGUCCACCGUAAAACCGAUUGGGUUGUAGCCAACAACCACGGAUUGGGCAUUAACCCAAAUAGAUCCAUACACAACUUCCUUGCUCACACGAGAUUAACGGUUACAAGUCAGAGGAUUUCUACUAAGAUUCCCAAUCUUAGUUGAUGAAAGAGGUAGCUCAUAAUUUCAUAAUAUAACUCUAACAAUAAAGUAUAUUCAUGUCUAAAACCCUAAGUUACUAGACAUUGCUUUUAAACAUUACUCAUAAUUUCAUAAUAUUUAGGCUGUAUAACAGAUAUAACUUGAGGAAAAGCCAUGUUUUAUCUUGACAUAAAACCCACAAUAAUAAAAUAUAACAUACUUAACAAAUGAUAUAUAUAUAUAUAUAUAUANNNNNNNNNNNNNNNNNNNNNNNNNNNNNNNNNNNNNNNNNNNNNNNNNNNNNNNNNNNNNNNNNNNNNNNNNNNNNNNNNNNNNNNNNNNNNNNNNNNNNNNNNNNNNNCUGAGUAUAACUUUGGGUAUAUAUUAGUAUACUUCUAUGAUAAUAUGCUAACAAGUUUAAGAUAGUUGUAUGAGUUCAAAAUAUCAUAUAUAUAUUUUAGGUAUAUAUGAGACAAAACAACUAUAUCCUGGUUAAUAUAACUAUCCAUGUUGAUACGAACAUACUAUCAUAUAAUAUUAACUUUUAUUCGAUAUCUAGCAUGCAUUUUUCCCCGAAAACAAUAGAAAGUGGGGCCGUGAACCUCACCUUAGUAGCGUGAUCUAUAGAAUCUAAGCGGUCAGAGGCUCGUCGUUGUCAGACUCGGGAGGGGAAAUGACAUUCGAAAACGAGAGAGAAAAAGAGGAGAUGGUGUAAGGAAUGAAUGGGCUUUGAUACCUAUUUAUAGGCUGAUUUUGGCCCAUUUACAUCGUUAGAAUCAAGACUCACGUCGUGAGAUAUGGCAAGAUUCAUCUCGUAGCCUUGACGCGUGUUAUCUAGCUCCGAUUAGUGUCUUGCAGCGUCCUCACGUCAUGAGAAAUCCUUGCUAAUGUUGUCAGCUUUUGGGUUAUCGUUCCGUAGACUUCUAGCAUCGAAAUGUGGUGUUUUGACUCCUCACGUCGUAAGUUCUUAUGCUCACAUCAUGAGUUCAGUGAAGUUAGGGUUUCUGACAGCUGUAUCUUCGGAAGGUCGUAACUUUUGCAUACGAACUCUGUUUUUGACGUUUUUUAUACCCACGUGUAGGUAUGUACGAGUACUACAACUCUCUUUUCGACUCUAAUAUCUAAUUCUAAGUCUAUUUUAAAUUCCUCUUAUUACAGAGAUUUAUAGUGUUAGGGUUUAUCAUAACUUCUUCACGCAAAGUCAGAUUUAGAUGUUCUCUAUAUUUUUGGAAUCGUAUGGACCUAUACUUUGAGUUGUAUCAUAAGUUAUGUAUGAAAGCUCAUACUUGAACAUGAAUUACAUAUUAAGUUUAUCACAUUACUAGUUUAACAAAACCACAUUACAUGAUUGACAUAUGUUUAUUGACCUGUUUUGAUUGGUGUUACAUUCUCCCCUCGUUAGAAUAAUUUCGUCCUGAAAUUUAUCUUGUGGGUGGGUUUUUGUUAAAUAGUUGGGGAAAACAUUGUGGAUAUUGCUUAGCUCUUGAUGUAACUUAAGUUGAUAUGUGACAAAACCAGUUCUUGCUAGAAUUUCAAAAGGUUCUAUAUAUUGCGGGUUUAGUUUGCCUCGUUUCCCGAAUCAAAUCUUGCUUUUCCAAGGAGAGACCUUCAACAUUCUUCUAUCUCGAACUUUUAAUUCCAAAGGCUUACGUCUUAUGUCGGCAUAUCUCUUCUGACGAUCACGUGUUGCCUUUAAUUAAUCCUUAAUUUGCACGAUCUUUUGAGUUGUCUCGUGGGUUAUUUCUAGCUCGGCACAUAUGGUAUCACCUACAUGUUCUCUGGCCAAUUGUGUGUCUCUAACUUCGCAGUGCAAAAACUACAGCCCUCAAUCCAAGGUCAUGGGUACUGUAAUUAUUCUCAUGCAUCUUAAGUUGUCGAGAUGCGCAAGCGAUAACCUUUCCCUUUUUUCAUCAAUACACAUCCCAAUCUUUAAUUUCAUGUGUUGUAGUAUACGACGAAAUCUUCUAUCCCAUCUAGAAAGGAUAGGAUUGGUGCACUACACAAUAUUUGCUUUAGUUUCUGUGUUAAUGUUGUAAGCGGCCUGACUACCUUAGAGAAUUCUCUAUGAAUCUACGGUAGUAGCCAGCAAACCAUAAGAUAUGACGCACUUCUAUUGGCGUCUUCGGUGCUUCCUAAUUCUUAAUUGCUUCAAUCUUGGAUGGGUCGACAUGGAUCCCUUUUGUUGCGAACCGCAUGCCCUAAAAAUUGUACUUCUCUAAUCCAAAUUUCACAUUCGGAGAAUUUGGCGUACAACUUUUCUUUUCUUAGUAGUUCCAAGAUUAUUUGCAAGUGUUAAUCGUGUUCUUCCUUGGUUCGUGAAUAUAUCAAUAUAUCAUCGAUAAAUACUAUCACGAAUUUAUCCAACUACGGUUUGCAAAGACUAUUCAUGAGGUCCAUGAACAUAGUUGGAGCGUUGGUCAAUCCAAAGGCUGAACUAGGAACUCAGAAUAACCAUACCGAGUCCUAAAUGUUGUCAUCAGAACAUCGUCUUCUUGUAUUCUGAGUUGAUGGUAUCCUGAUUUGAGCUCUAUCUUCAAUCUUCUAGAAUCUUCAGGUGUUUUAGUCUAUCAACCACCGUAUCCAAGUUUAGUUGUGCAUCGGCCUGACCAUAGUUAAAUAUAGGUGAUCAGUCUACGUUUAGUUGUAGUUCGACCCAUGUACAAUAAAACUCGACUAAGUAGUUUGACCUAAAAAAUUGUGUUGUAUAGUUAUCGAGGGUUUAGGUUUUCUAUAUUGUUGGGUUAUACAAGUGUUCUCAUCGUGGGACAGAGUUCAUACAUAACUCUAUAUCUUUGUGUUUGUUGUAUUCACGGGUAUUAUCAAUUAUUUUUUGUUAAUUCAGGUCUAGCUGAUAAGGCUCCGACCAGUAAGGACAGUCGGUGGGCAUGAUCAUUUUAGCGUAUAGCCGUUCUGAAAUCCAGCAACCCAACGCGACAUGUCUAUCCUGUCACCGCUCUCGUGAGUAGACCUUCAGUAUAUAGUUUAAUAAUACUUUUUAUUUGUAGGUUAAGGUAUAUACCUAAACCUAAAGAGUAAGCCCUAGACUAUAGUCGUGCUUUCCUAAGAAAGUACUAGUUCACUAUAGUUAAUAGCUCUAAUACCAAUCUGUCACACCCCGGCCGUCGGCGUAAAAACUGGGUGGUGUAACAUCAUUCCUUGUAUCACGGUUAUAUAACAUAUAUUAAACUGUACAAAAGAAUUAAUAUAAACUACGUACCUUUAUUGAUAAUAGCAAGCUAUAUUAUUCCAGCUUAUCAAGUUCCUAAAAACACAUGCGUUUUGAAAAUACGUUAACAUAAAGUUGGUGAGUCCACAGAUUUUGACUCCAUAUAAAUAAUACCUUUUCCGAGUUCAUAAAUAUCUAUAAUAUAGUUUGCAGAUAUCAUUUUGACUCAUACUUGUUUCUAACAUAUAAUAUACAUACAUAUAUAUAUAUAUAUAUAUAUGUGUGUGUGUGUGUGUGUGUGUGUAUAUCCUAGGUAUAAUGGUUUACUUACAAAAUAAGUAGUAUACCUAUAAGUUUCAUAUACUAUGAAUAUAAUUGUUUUUAAUCCAAUACAAACAUAGGUUACUACGUAUAAAACUUAUUUCAAUUCUAUACGAGUAAAAACGACAACAUAUAAAUCUAUUUCAAUUCUAUACGAGUAAGGACACUACAUAUAAAUCUAUUUCAAUUCUAUACGAGUAAAACCACUAUGUAUAAAUCUAUUUCAACUCUAUACGAGUAAAACUGCUACGUAUAAAUCUAUUUCAAUUCUAUACGAGUAUGUAUGCUAGGUAUAAUUGUCUACCUACAAGUUCCUUGUACUUAGAGUAUAAGUCUUUGGGAAACUUAUACUUAACAUUCAUACUUUUAUAUCGAGAAAGUAUAACGCUUCUAAAGUUGUGCUACCAUGAGUCCGUAACUGCUGCUAGACAUACAAAUCUCCGAUUAAAAGAUAUCGCACCGAUGGUUCAUCCAUUGGUGCCACAAUAAAACUGCCAUUAGUGCCAUAAAGGAUUCCACCAAGGUAAAUACUUCCCAUGUACGCUUCAUCGACGUCGGGUCCAUAACAAUCAAUAGGACAGUUCGUCACCCACAGACCAUUGCAUUGUAGCUAGCAACCACGGGCGGGGUCCUCAACCAGCAUAGAUCCAUAGUCCACGGCAAAAUCGAUUGGGUUGUAGCCAACAACCACGGAUGGGGCAUUAACCCACAUAGAUCCAUACACAACUUCCUCGCUCUCAUGGGAUUAAUGGUUACAGGUCAGCGGAUUUCCACUAAGAUUCCCAAUCUUAGUUGAUGAAAGAGGUAACUCAUGUAGAAUUUGCCGGCUUCCUAUAAGUCUAACAACAAAGCAUAUUCGUGUCUAAAACCCUAAGUUACUAGACAAUGCUUUUAAACAUUACUCAUAAUUUCAUAAUAUUUAGGCAGUAUAACAGUUAUAACUUGAGGUAGAAGCAGGUUUUAUCUUGACAUAAAACCCACAAUAAUAACAUAUAACAUACUUAACAAAUGAUAUAUAUAACAUUCGAGUAUAACUCUAGGUCUAUCACACAACAUAGUAUAUAGAACUCCCGAGUAUAACUCAUAAGCUACAUCACAUAAUAUAUAUAUAUAUAUAUAUAUAUAUAUAUANUAAGAUAGUUGUAUGAUUUCAAAAUAUCAUAUAUAUUUUAGGUAUAUAUGAGAGAAAACAACUAUAUCCCGGUUAAUAUAACUAUCUAUGUUGAUACGAACAUACUAUCAUAUAAUAUUAACUUUUAUUGGAUAUCUAGCAUGCGUUUUCCCCCGAAAACAUUAGAAAGUGGGGCCGUGAAACUCACCUUAGUAGCGUGAUCUAUAGAAUCUAAGCGGCCUUCGAAAACGAGAGAGAAUGAGAGGAGAAGGUGUAAGAAAUGAAUGGGAUUUGAUUGCUAUUUAUAGGCUGAUUUUGGCCCAUUCACGUCAUGAUAAUCAAGACUCACGUCGUGAGAUUUGGCAAGAGUCAUCCCGUAGCCUUAACGCGUGUUAUCUAGCUCCGAUUAGUGUCCUGCAGCGUCCUCACGUCGUGAGAAAUCCUUGCUCACGUCGUCAGCUUUUGGGCUAUCAUUCCAUAGACUCCUAGCCUCAAAAUGUGGCAAUUUG
rnacentral:lncRNA from 1 species